CACAUACGCAUCCUUUGCUGAGGAUACGGUUAACGGAGCGAAAGCGACGUUCAACCGCAAAAGAAGCAGAGGGGGCUUAGUGGUGGGGUGACUGCGUACCUUUUGUAUAAUGGGUCAGCGACUUAUAUUCUGUAGCAAGGUUAACCGCAUAGGGGAGCCGGAGGGAAACCGAGUCUUAAUUGGGCGUUAAGUUGCAGGGUAUAGACCCGAAACCCGGUGAUCUAGCCAUGGGCAGGUUGAAGGUUGGGUAACACUAACUGGAGGACCGAACCGACUAAUGUUGAAAAAUUAGCGGAUGACCUGUGGCUGGGGGUGAAAGGCCAAUCAAACCGGGAGAUAGCUGGUUCUCCCCGAAAGCUAUUUAGGUAGCGCCUCGUGAAUUCAUCUCCGGGGGUAGAGCACUGUUUCGGCUAGGGGGCCAUCCCGGCUUACCAACCCGAUGCAAACUGCGAAUACCGGAGAAUGUUAUCACGGGAGACACACGGCGGGUGCUAACGUCCGUCGUGAAGAGGGAAACAACCCAGACCGCCAGCUAAGGUCCCAAAGUCAUGGUUAAGUGGGAAACGAUGUGGGAAGGCCCAGACAGCCAGGAUGUUGGCUUAGAAGCAGCCAUCAUUUAAAGAAAGCGUAAUAGCUCACUGGUCGAGUCGGCCUGCGCGGAAGAUGUAACGGGGCUAAACCAUG
rnacentral:rRNA from 1 species